ACUUGAAUUGAAGAGUUUGAUCAUGGCUCAGAUUGAACGCUGGCGGCAGGCUUAACACAUGCAAGUCGAACGGUAGCAGGAGAAAGCUUGCUUUCUUGCUGACGAGUGGCGGACGGGUGAGUAAUGCUUGGGAAUCUGGCUUAUGGAGGGGGAUAACGACGGGAAACUGUCGCUAAUACCGCGUAAUAUCGAAAGAUUAAAGUGUGGGACCUUCGGGCCACAUGCCAUAGGAUGAGCCCAAGUGGGAUUAGGUAGUUGGUGGGGUAAAGGCCUACCAAGCCUGCGAUCUCUAGCUGGUCUGAGAGGAUGACCAGCCACACUGGAACUGAGACACGGUCCAGACUCCUACGGGAGGCAGCAGUGGGGAAUAUUGCGCAAUGGGGGGAACCCUGACGCAGCCAUGUUGGUGGAAUGAAAGAAACGUUACAGUGGUAAUGCUCUUGAGAUAUAUAGGAAAGUUGAAGGUUUAUUACCAAAUAAAAAUUGUGAGAUAUAAAGACGAAUCGAAAAAGAGCUUCGACAGAAGAACUUAAAUAAUGUUGAGGGUAAGAAUGUUGAUCAGGAUAAUAGGACGUAAGAGGAAGACUAAAAGUUAUUCACUCCAGUGGUUAAUUGCAAGGGGUUCAUUAAAGGGAUUUUCAAAUCCCUUGCAAGUACUUUUUGUAAAAAUAUUUAAAAAAAUGAUCUUUUGAUGGAAAUAUAAACAUUUCAUUAAAAAGUGCGGUGAAAAAUACAAUAAUUUUCCAGAUUAUUAUUUUUUCCAAUAGCUUGGAAUAAACAGCACGACUUAAUGAAAACUUCCCC
rnacentral:rRNA from 1 species